GCCCAGGUGGUGAAAUUGGUAGACGCAGGGGACUCAAAAUCCCCCGCCGCAAGGCGUGCCGGUUCGAUUCCGGUCCUGGGCACCA
rnacentral:tRNA from 1 species